AUUGAACGCUGGCGGCACGCCUAACACAUGCAAGUCGAGCGGCAGCGCGGAUAGUAGCAAUACUAUCUGGCGGCGAGCGGCGGACGGGUGAGGAACACGUAGGAAUCUACCCUCAAGCGGGGGACAACCAAGGGAAACUUUGGCUAAUACCGCAUGAACUCGAGAGAGAAAAGUUGCUCGCAAGGGUGACACUUGAGGAGGAGCCUGCGUCCGAUUAGCUAGUUGGUGAGGUAAGAGCUCACCAAGGCGAUGAUCGGUAACUGGUCUGAGAGGACGACCAGUCACACUGGGACUGAGACACGGCCCAGACUCCUACGGGAGGCAGCAGUGGGGAAUCUUGGACAAUGGGGGCAACCCUGAUCCAGCGAUGCCGCGUGAGUGAAGAAGGCCUUCGGGUCGUAAAGCUCUUUAGGUUGGGAGGAAGGAUGUUGGAGGAAAUGCCAGCUUUUUGACGGUACCGACAGAAUAAGCACCGGCAAACUCUGUGCCAGCAGCCGCAGUAA
rnacentral:rRNA from 1 species